GACAGAGGUGCCGAGCGUUAAUCGGAAUUAUCGUGGGCGUAAAGCGUGUCGCAGGCGGUUCUAUAAAGACAGAUGUGAAAUCCCCGGGCUCAACCUGGGAACUGCAUUUGGUGGCUGUAGAGCUGGAGUGCGGCAGAGGGGAUGGAAUUCCGCGUGUAGCAGUGAAAUGCGUAGAUAUGCGGAGGACACCGAUGGCGAAGGCAAUCCCCUGGGCCUGCACUGACGCUCAUGCACGAAAGCGUGGGGAGCGAAACAGGAUUAGAUACCC
rnacentral:rRNA from 1 species